GCCGAAGUGGUGGAACUGGUAGACACGCUACUUUGAGGGGGUAGUGCUCAAAAAUGGGCGUAGGGGUUCGAGUCCCCUCUUCGGCAC
rnacentral:tRNA from 2 species